UGGGGAAUAUUGCGCAAUGGGCGAAAGCCUGACGCAGCGACGCCGCGUGCGGGAUGAAGGCCUUCGGGUUGUAAACCGCUUUCAGCAGGGACGAAGCGAAAGUGACGGUACCUGCAGAAGAAGCGCCGGCUAACUACGUGCCAGCAGCCGCGGUAACACGUAGGGCGCAAGCGUUGUCCGGAAUUAUUGGGCGUAAAGAGCUCGUAGGUGGUCCGCCACGUCCGCUGUGAAAAUCCAGGGCUUAACCCUGGACUUGCAGUGGAUACGGGCGGACUAGAGGUAGGUAGGGGAGAAUGGAAUUCCCGGUGUAGCGGUGAAAUGCGCAGAUAUCGGGAGGAACACCGGUGGCGAAGGCGGUUCUCUGGGCCUUACCUGACACUGAGGAGCGAAAGCGUGGGGAGCGAACAGGAUUAGAUACCCCCGUAGUCC
rnacentral:rRNA from 1 species